AAGCGCUGGCAAUCAGACUUGAGCGCGGCGGUUCCCCCGGCCUUUUGGCCGGGCUACUCCGUCGCGUCCAGGCCAACAUCGGUUCUGAGGGUCGGUCAAAGGCCCCGGGAAUGUACCUACCCACGGGUAGACUUAUAGACCGGGGUGUCAUGCGGCCUCUCGGGACCGAGGAACGCGCUUCGGCUCGGAUGUUGGCGUAAUGGUUGUCAGCGA
rnacentral:rRNA from 1 species